UACGAACCGUCCAAACGUUAUUCGGAAUUACUGGGCUUAAAGGGUGCGUAGGCGGCCCGGUAAGUUGGGUGUGAAAUCCCUCGGCUCAACCGAGGAAUUGCGCCCAAAACUGUCGGGCUUGAGGGAGAUAGAGGUGAGCGGAACUUAGGGUGGAGCGGUGAAAUGCGUUGAUAUCCUAAGGAACACCGGUGGCGAAAGCGGCUCACUGGGUCUCUUCUGACGCUGAGGCACGAAAGCUAGGGGAGCGAACGGG
rnacentral:rRNA from 1 species